UUUUUUUUUUUACAGGCAGAGUGGACAGUGAGAGAGAGAGACAGAGAGAAAAGUCUUCCUUUGCCGUUGGUUCACCCUCCGAUGGCCGCCACGGCCGGCGCGCUGCGCUGAUCCGAUGGCAGGAGCCAGGAGCCAGGUGCUUUUCCUGGUCUCCCAUGGGGUGCAGGGCCCAAGCACCUGGGCCAUCCUCCACUGCACUCCCUGGCCACAGCAGAGAGCUGGCCUGGAAGAGGGGCAACCGGGACAGAAUCCGGCGCCCGACCGGGACUAGAACCCGGUGUGCCGGCGCCGCUAGGUGGAGGAUUAGCCUAGUGAGCCGUGGCGCCGGCCCAUAUAAGGUUAACUUUUAUUACUUACUACCAUCUAAAACACAAUCUGUGGAUUAAAAAUGCAUCUGUUGGCCUCCAAAUGUAUUUUGUUGAUGCUACACACAGAUUUGUGAAAUUUACUCUCCAAUUCUAGGACUCACUUUCAGAGGAUCAUUACCCCCCACCCAGACUCUGCCAGUGACCUUCCUCUGGUCUUCUCUCCACUCCUGCCUCCCACUACUGUCGGAUCCAUUGCCUGGAGGUCCAGCCUCUGAGAUUCACGUUUCUCAUCACAAAAAUGUCUGCACUUCCUAAUGCCAGCAGCUUUGCUUGCUUCUCACAACAUGGUCUAUGGAAUACUAGUCUGUGAGCAGAGUUUUAAGAAAAAAAAUUAUCAUGGAAUGGAUAUCCUUUGCUCAAAAUAACACAGGGAAAUGCUGUGAAUUUUACCUCCUUUCUGGACGUUCAUAAUGCACACUAGCCAGUGAAGGCGCUGAGCAAUUCUGCAAUACAAACCCAAUUCAACCAUCUUAAUGUAGUGUUUCCCACACCUGUCAGGCCAUACACUGUGCUGAACUCAUGUUAAUACCCUGAAGACACCGUGUUCUAUGGAAAAUCCUCUGGGAAUCACUGGCUUCCUGGAAUAUCAUUCAAGGCCUUCUGUACUCUGACCCCAGUCACAUCUUCCAAGUACCAGGUCUGACUUUUCUUUUUCUCCCUUUGAUUCUCUCUACCUUAGAAGUCAUUUGUAGUUGUUACUGAAUUCCUAUUUGUUGAAAUUUGCUAUGUGUUCAAAUUUCAGAUUAUCCAGGAAGUCUUACACAAACCUUCUAAUCAGAAUUAAUCUUUUCUUGCUCUAAGUCCUCAUAGUAGUUAUGCAUUCUAUAGUAGUGACAAUGACAUCAAGUCCUGACUCACUGCUUUGCAGGUUACCAGCAACAGGCAUUUCUCAUCUACAAAAUGGAUACAAUGUGGCAUUUACUAUCCUACUGUUGUUCUGGGAGUUAAGAAAUAGAAUGAAUGUGAGUGUAUUAAAUCUAAGGUUAUGAAGCCAAAUAUUAUAUAGAAUUCAUCUUUGUACUCUCCAGUGAGGAGUCUGGUUCAGUCCUGACUGUAACAGAUCUUGAACUGUGUUUGCUAGAUUAUUAUGCGUGAUUACAGCUAGAUUCCUGAGUGUGGUAUUUUCAUAACAGACUGAUGGUCUAAAGUAUCUGUGCCCCUGUGGGGGAUUUGUUUUAAGCCACGAUAAUGCAUCUUAACUGUGCCCUUCUAUACUGGAUGGGUUCUGGAAAGUCACUUACCCUCACUGAAAUUCAGUUUUCAGAUUUGUAAAAAUUGAGCAGCUAGCUAAAUCAGUGACUCUUAAAAUUUUUCAAACCACCCACAGUCAUCAAAAAUUAACUUCCAGUUGUUUUUUAAAACAGUAAUAAUUUCAGUAAUAAUUAGUGAUUCCUUUUUCUCUAAUAAGUCAUAUUUAAAAACUUGAUGUUUUUAUUUGUUGCUUCAGCUGUAUCACCUGAAGGCUGACAUCUCCCUCUAGACUUUCUUAAAUACUGAACCACAAGGCUCAGACACUGUGAUCUUCAUUGCUCCCUGUUAUAUAAGGAACAUAAACUGGCAAUUACCUCCCUUAAUAUUUACAAUUCCAUUUUGCUUAAAAAUUCUAUGAAAUUCUGAGAUAAACCAGACCAUUCAAGACUCAGUUGUUGUACAGUUUGUUCACCUUUUCUAUAUGUUGAAAAGGCACCAAAGACAUGAGACCCAGUGUAGAGAGACAGGAUUCUCAGCGAGAAGGAUGAGUAGGCAUUGCCCAGACAAAUAAGGCAAUGAGAGGGUGGAAGCGGAUCUGGGCAGAGGUUGCUUGUACACAGAUCCAAAUAUAAGACAGAUUACAGAGAAUGUGAUCCAUGGCUGAACUCUCUGUGUGUGUGUGUGUGUGUGUGUGGUGUAACAAUGGGAAGAACAGAGUUAGGGCUUCUACCAUGAGCUGGAGAGGCUGAGUGUUAACUGAGGACCAAAGAGUCUUAUAAUCCACAUUAAGGCAUUUAUCCUAAGGACAGUGAAAAAUAAGUGAGAAGGUUUCUUUGGUUAUUAUUUUUAAGUUUCUAUAUGAGAGGCAGAGAGACAGAGUGAGCUUCUGUUGUCUGGUUCAUUUCCUAUAUACCUGUGAUGGACUGAAGCUUGGAGCAAGGAAUCCAAUCCAAGUAUCCUAUAUAGGUGGCUGGCACCCAACUCUUUGAGCCAUCACUGCUGCCUCCCAGAGUCUGCAUGAGCAGAAAGUCAGAGUCAUGAGCCAGAACAGGUAUUAUACCCACGCACUCCCCUGUGACAUGUGGGCGUCGUAACUGGCAAGUUAACCACCAAACCAAACACCCACUCAUACUGAAAAAGUGCAAGUAGAAGAAAAACCUGGCACAUUUUGAAUGUUGAAACCAUCACUCCAGAAGUUGAGUGGAGAAUAACUUGGUUGGUAGGUGGAGAGGUAAGACUAAACCCUGAGCCAAUCGAUGUUACCAUGGCUGAACAGAGUACCCAAGAUUUGUGCUUUUAUUCAAACUGAAUAAUGAAAUCAAUACAGUAGGUCAUGGACAGUAUUUCUUUAAAGAAAGAAGAUGAAAAGAAGAGAAAAUAUUAGUGCAUAUUUCAUGUUAGGGUAUAUUAAUUCAUGAAACUCUUACAUAGAUUAUCACUCAAGUAUGUUUGGGCUCUGUGUGCAUUUGUACUGGGUAACAGCAUAAAAUGCAUUUCUGUGAUGAGGUAAAAAACAGGUUACCCUCCCCCUACCCCCCAUGAUUCCAGACCUCAGGAAGCCUUCUUAGAAAUGCCUGCUCCAAAUCACCCUGAGAACCAUGUGGUAGACAGCAACAAAGCACCACAAAUCUGCCACUGGAAAAUGGGGCUCAAGGGAGCAGCUCCUAUUGCUGACACACAGUCGCGUUCCAAUAGGUUCAAAAUAAAAGAAGAACUUGCCUCGGAAGAUCCAUGAAAGGAUGGCUCAUAUGGAUGCAUGGGUUUAAUGUAUUUCACGGUUGGCAUUGGCAGUUCUGGGUCCUCUCUGUGGUGUUAGAUAUUUGUGGUCUCCUCAGUUUCCUGUGGUUUGGUCCCCUUUUUGCUCAACAUUUACCAUGGGACAGCCGGGAGAAGCCAUCUGCUCAGAGAACUUCAAAAUGUGUUUUGGUUUACAUUCUGUUACAGUGAAGUCAAUGCAAAUUGUUUUUACGAUCUUUCCUAAAAAACAAUUUUUAUUUUACUUGUUUUGGGGAGGGGGGAUAAUAAGGGGAAUAAACAAGUACUGGUUGUGGUUUAUAAUAUGGUGUUGUCCUCACUUAAAAAAUCAGUCCAACAGAUGUUAGUUUUGAUCAUUGUUGUCUGUGGGAAUCUACAUUUUACUAUUUUUAAAUGCUGUUUGGAUGAGAUUCAUCUUACUAAUUUCCAUUGAGGUAUAUUCACUGCAACAGUGGUGACCUUCCAUAGACUCCUUUCUUUCCCUAUUUUUUCAUAAAUUGCACAAAUACUUUCUUGAACUUGAGGAUGACCUGAACUUAUUUAAUACUCCUUCAAAGGCCAACUGAAAGGCAUUAUUUCUCAUAGAGAAGGCUUUCAAUAAGAGUUCAGAGUGAAUUAGAUGGAACCUCAAAGUGAACUGAACCUCAUUUCUACUAAUUUUGCAGACGGGUAGUAGAGCUUAAAGCAGUGUGAGCUUCCUGGUGAUCAGACCUGGGCCUAGCAAUGAGCUCAGGAAGACUAGAUGAGGGUCUUUUCUGUUGGCCUCACUCUUAAAUACUCGGCCAUAGCUCCUCUAAGAGGGCAGUUACAUGGGAAGCACUGGCCAUGCAAAUCAGAUAAAAGUCAGCAUAGAUUUUGUUACUGGCAAGAAAGCUGCAAAAGUCAUUGAUGUAGGAUCAGACAUUUUAUUUACUGGUUGAGUUUAUUAACAUAGGAGUCUCCAGGAAAAAAAAAAGGUAGCUUAUUAAGAGUAUUGACUGUGUCAGAUAACAAGAUGGAAGAAAAAGUUUCCCACGAUUUCUUAAUGCUUCUUAUCUGACAUAUAGAUUAUUUUCCCUCUAGACUUACAAGUAUUGAGAGUGUGUAAGUUAUAUCCAGAAGAAUGAUGCAAAUCACACACUGAAGUUACAAUGGAAGAGGAGAAAUUUCUAUAUUUUCAACCAGGGUUUCUCCAACUCGGUACUAAUGACAUUUCAGACCAGAAAAUUCUUUGUUGUGUGUCUGUCCUGUGGUUAUAGGCACCUCAGAAGCAUCGCUGGCCUCUCCUCACGAGACAUCAAUCACACAUUCCCAAUUAAGACAACCAAAAUAGUCUCUAGAGGUUGCCGAGUGUCCCCUAGGGGAUGAAACAGCCCCGUAAGUGAGAAUCACUGGUUUAGAAAACUCUGGAUGUUUGAAAUUUAAGGGGAGAAUGCCUCUAUGAAGGAAGGUUGUUAUUACCUCUCAUUAUAAAUGUGAUAAGUACCUAAAUGUAUAAAAUAUGGAAGCAUAUGUUACUCAAAUAAUACCAAAUUGCUUCAAGGUUGGUCUUAGCAUGUUGCCAACAGUCAACACAGUCAGAAAUUGGACUUUCAAAAAUCAACGAAAAUACAAAAUCUCCCCAUGAAAAAUGGGGACAAGAAAGACAGUUCACGCUCUGAAAUCCCUCUUCAUCCAUCUUAUCAUAGCAUUAGCUCUUCCACAGUCUUUUCUCUCUCAGAAUUGGCCCCAAACUCCAGUUCCCUCUGCCUUUCCUGCCUCCUUACUCUACCCAUGUGCUGCUGUCCCUCUACUCAGUCCUUCUACAAGAGUCUCUCUGGCCUUUCCCAUCUAGAUUAGUGUAGUUUCUUUCCACACGGUUGCCUUACCCUUGCUUUCCACUGGGUUGCCAAAUCUUCCUUGGAAUGCUCUGAGAAGAGGGAAGGUUAUUAAUGUGUAGGUUAAGAAUAUUUUUAUUUUGAACACUUCGACAUGCCGAGACAGGCAACUGUAGACACUUUGCCUUUGAUUUCUAUCUUAAGAACUUUCCUAAAUAUUUUCCCCAUGCAUGUCAGCCGUACCUACUGUAGCUUGGACUUGCUAGUCCAAGUACACUCUAUGGUCCUGCUGGAUCAAUGCUGCCUGGGAAUUUGUGAAAAAGGCAGAAUCUCAGACCACACCCCACACCUACUGAAUAACUCCCCAUAUGACCAAAUACUGUGGUGGACUCAGGAUGUUAGAAGCCAGUCCCAGGGGCCAGCAUUAUAGUGUAAAUGAGUAAAGCCACCUCUUGGGACACCAAUGCUGAUAUCCCAUAUGGGUGCUGGUUUGAGUCCCGGCUUCUCCAUUUCCAACCCAGCUCCCUGCUAAUGGCCUGAGAAAAGCAGCGGAAAAUGGUCCAAGUGUUUUGGGCCCUGCCACCCACAUGGGAGACCUGGAAGAAGCUCCUGGUUCCUUGGCUUCAACCUGGCUCAGCUCUGGCCUUUGUGGUCACUUGGGGAGUGAACAAGUGGAUGCAAGCCAUCUGUCUGUCUCUCUCUUUGUAACUCUGACUUUCAAAUAAAUCCUUUUUUAUUUUUAAAAGUAGCUCAUCCCACGACAGGUAUUCCAUAUCCCAGUGGUUCUCAAACCAAAGCACAAAUCAUGCUCACUUGGGGGACUUGCAAAAAUGCAGAUUCUGGAGCUCCCUCUUCUCUCUGGAGUUUUGAAUUGUGUUAGUCUGUAGUAUAGUCUAGUAAUUUGCAUUUCAAACUCCCAGGUGGUCUGUGAGCAGAGUUUGGGAACCACUGUUAUGACCAAAUAAAGUAAGGAACUCCUAAAAGGUAGAUGAAAUUAAAACAGUUGAUUUUUCUGAUAGGUCUUCUUUGAGCCUUUAUUUUCAUUUUUUGAAAUAUUUAUUUAUUAUAUUAUGUUUAUUUAUUUUUAUAUAUUUAUUUUAUUUAUUUGAAAGAGAGAGAGAGGUCUUCCAUCUGCUGGUUCACUCCCCAAAUGGCUGUAACAGCUGGAGUUUAGCCAAUCUAAAGUAAGGAGCCAGGAGCUUCUUCCGGGUCUCCAAUGUGGGUGCAGGGACCCAAGGAUUUUUUAUUUAUUUAUUUUUUUUGCCAGGCAGAGUGGACAGUGAGAGAGAGAGACAGAGUCUUCCUUUUGCCGUUGGUUCACUGUCCAAUGGCCGGCGCGGCCGGCAUGCUGUAGCCAACGCACCGCGCUGAUCCGAUGGCAGGAGCCAGGUACUUAUCCUGGUCUCCCAUGGGGUGCAGGGCCCAAGUACUUGGGCCAUCCUCCACUGCACUCCCUGGCCACAGCAGAGAGCUGGCCUGGAAGAGGGGCAACCGGGACAGAAUCCGGCGCCCCGACCGGGACUAGAACCUCGUGUGCUGGCGCCGCAAGGUGGAGGAUUAGCCUAGUGAGCCACGGCGCUGGCCAGGACCCAAGGAUUUGUGCCUUCUUCUACUGCUUUCCCAGGCCAUAGCAGAGAGCUAGAUCUGAAAAGGAGCAGCUGGGACUCAAACCAGCAUCCAUGUGGGAUGCCAGUGCUGCAGGCUAGGGCUUUAACCUGCUAUGCCACAGCACUGGCCCCUGAAAUAUUUAUUUUUUCCAACUGCUUGAAAGGCAGAGUGAUAAAAGAGAUAGAGUAAGAGAGAUUUUUCAUCUGCUGGUUCAUUUCCCAAGUGCCUGCAAUAGCCAGUACUGGGUCUGGCCAAAGCCUAUACCUUGAAACGCUAUCCGGGUCUCUCACAUGGGCAACAGGAACUCAAUUACUGGACCAGGAUCUGCUACCUCUCAGGAUGCAUUAGUCGGCAGCUGGAUCACAAGCAGAGCCCUUAGGUCUCUGAUAGGGAAUGCUGGCUGUCCCAAGUGAUGGCUUAACCUACUGUGUGACAAUACUUGGCCCCCUCAAAGCCUUCAAUGUGCUAAUACUUGGUUUUUCAAACUCUUUGGGCCACUGGAUACAAGUUUUUUAAAAAAUAUCACUAUAGGUUAGUGUUCCACAAAAUGAACUUUGGGAACCACUGUUCUACUAACAAUAGAGCCUGGCAGUUUUGACUGGAAAAAAAAAAAGCUGAGUGGAAUAAAAUGACCUCUUGGGAUGGGGUGGGGAGAUGGGAUAGUCUUGGUUUUGGUGUCGGGUCAGCACAGCUGUUGUGUCUUUUAAGCAAAUGAAUAGCACAUUUCUCCAAGGGAUUUGUACAGGUUGAAAAUAAAUUCUGAAUUAUUGAGAUUCACAUAACAUAGAACAUAAAUUAGACGGGGAUACAAAAUAUAUCUGUACCGACAUUAGAAUGUCUCUUUUUUCCCCCAUCUUGAAAUACAAGCCAAGAAUAGAACGUUGAUUAAACAGAGAGCACUGACAUUUUAUUCCUGUGGUGCUGGAUAGCAGCCUAGACAAAGAGCCGGUUAAAUUCCAAAGACAAAGAGCCCUUUUGUGAGGCAGCAAAGUUCAUGUGGGAGAAAUAUUAAGCGAGGUCUCCAAUGUCUUUACCUACAACACUCAUUGGGAGGCAAUGGGUAAAACCAUGCUUAAAAUAUAUGGGAACAGAGGGGUGAAGGAAUGUAUUAAAGGUUGGAAUUGAAAUCCACAUGAAACUCACUUGUUGUCUCCAGUGAGGGAAAUUUGUACCAGGAAAUGAAAAUCAAAAUAGUCAAUGAGAUAGGAGAAAGAAAAUGCACUCUUCCAAGCAAGCAAAACAUGAAGUGUCUAUUAUUAUCACAUUCUCUAUGGAGAGGAGAUACAGGAGUGGACAAGAUGAAUAUUUUCUCUACCUUUAAAGAUCCUACACUGUCAUUAGGAGUAUAGGCUUAAAAAUAAUAAAAGAAUAAAUCAAUUAAGUGUUUGAAGAUAACAAGAAGGGGGCAUAGGGGCUGGCGCCAUGGCUCACUUGGUUAAUUCUCUGCCUGUGGCACCGGCAUCCCAUAUGGGCACUGGGUUCUAGUCCUGGUUGCUCCUCUUCCAGUCCAUCUCUCUGCUGUGGCCCGGGAGUGCAGUGGAGGAUGGCCCAAGUGCUUGGGCCCCGCACCUGCAUGGGAGACCAGGAGGAAGCACCUGGCUCCUGGCUUCGGAUCGGCGCAGCGUGCCGGCUGGAGCGGCCAUUUAGGGGGUGAACCAACAGAAAGAAGACCUUUCUCUCUGUCUCUCUCUCUCUCACUGUCUAUAAUUCUACCUGUCAAAUAAAAAAAAAGAAGGGGGUAGAGAAACAGGGUUCGGUACAGUUGCUUUAGAAAAUGUGCUAUUGGAACGCCACUCUAAUGAUUUAUUUGGGUUAAGAAAUAAGGAAGAGAAAAAGUGACCUGUGUGAGGGCCAGUACUGUGGUACAGCAGAUUAAGCUGCCUCAGUGCUAGGUUUGAGUCUGGACUGCUGUGUUUCCCAACCAACUUCCUGCUAAUGUACUUGGGAAAGCAGCAGAAAAUAGCCCAAGUACUUGAGCCCCUGCCACUCACAAUGGAGACCUGGAUAGAGUUCCUGGCUCCUGGCUUCCACGUGGUCCAUCCUUGGCCAUAUGGCCAUUUGGGGAGUGAACCAGCAGAUGAAACCCCCCCCCCCCCACACACACACACACAUUCUCUCUCUGUACUUCUGUUUCUCUGGCUUACAAUUAAAAUAAUGAAUCUUUAAAAAAGAAUGUUCUAGAAAUCCUUAGCAAUAUGUGCAAAGGACUGGAAAUGAGAAGAGACCACAUUGGCUGAACACUUGCUUUGGGUUGAGUAUGAGUCUGUGUGUCAGUUUGGAAUGGGGGCCAGUGUUCACGAACAGGCCAUUGUUGGCUUCCUGGUAUGGGUCAUUUCAUUCCCCAUAAUUUGUUCAACUUGGCCCCAAAUGCUAUGUGAUGAUCUCUGCCAAAUUAUAGAACAAAUAAAUCGCUUGGCCAGUCCUAUAUGCAGAGUCAUAUGUAGUAUUACUGCUAAUCUUGCCAAAGGAUUCCUUUAUAGCCCCUGCCUGUGGUUAAGAGCUAUUCUUGAUGCUUUGGUUUGACUAUGUCUCCCAGAGUUCAUGGGUUGGAAACUAAAUACCCAACUCAACAGUGUUGGAAGGUGGGUCCUUUAAGAGGUCAUUAGGUCAAGAGGGUUCCACCUUCAUAAACAGAUUAAUGUCAUUAUCACUGGGGUGGGAUUCUGAUAAAUACAACGAAUUCAGCCCGGUUUCCUCUGUUUAGGCACAUUCGCAUGCGCUUCCGCCAGGUGAUGACGAACCAGCAUCCUGUGCUUUGACUUUCCAUCCUGCAGAACUAGCAAUGAACACCCUAUUCAGUGGUCUUCACUGGUUCUCCAAUAUUUUCAACACCACUCUCGGGAUAGAAUUCUCCAUAUAAGGUACACGGAGCAGUGCGGAUAAAACAGUGGGGUAUACGAGCCCUCUCUUCUGCCCUCCUGCACGCCUUGGAAAGUGCCACAGAAACCUCCCUCACUAGACUCUGCCUCUGCCGAAUAGGGACCUAAGUUUAUUUUUCAAACCAAUCAUACAAAUUUGCCAAAUUCUACCUCACUUGUUCUUACUGCUAGAAGUUUGAUCCAUCUAGGAUAAAAUACCCUGUGAGUACCAAUCAACAGCCCUCUUUUUUAUAAACAAUUGAAGGAAUAUCACAAUUACUGUUCCAGGCCUGCAAAAACCCUUCGAAGUCUUGGAGUCACAUAGGCUGAAGGUGAAAUCCCAACUCGACCCUAAUUUAGCUGAACAAACCGGAGCAGAUCAUAUCAUCUUUGUUUGAUCAUCUGAAAAAUAAGCAUAAGACAGUCCCUACCUCGCAGAGAUUUAAUGGAAACCAAAUAAUGUAAUUUACAUUCUGGUUUUCUAUUAAGGCAAAAAUCACCUCAAUAGUCAAUGGCUUAAAAUAACCAUUUAUUUUUCUCCCUCACAGUUCUGGGGGUUGACAGGCUUGGAUAGGGAGGGGUACUCCCACGGAGUCCCUUCCGAGGUUGCAGUCAGGUGGUAGGUGAGGCUGGGCCUUCUUUGCACAUGUCUGGGGUGGCUAGACUAGCUGGGUUGCAGCCAGUUAGGUCUUCCCAUUCCUCUGAGACUAAUUUGGCCUUAUUUACAGCUUGGUGGGCUCAAGGUUAUUGGAUUUCUUAUCUGGUAGCUGGCUUCUCAGUGAACAGGUGUUCUGGCAGACAAGAAGUGGAAGCUGCUCAUCUAUGAGGGCCUGGGCCUGGGUAUGGUCACAGUAUCACCUGCUCCAUACCCUUCCUCUCAAGGCAGUUUCAGGGCUCAUGAGCUUCAGGGGGUGAGGUCAGACACUCAACUCUCAGGGGACAGAAUACUGAUAAAUCUGUGGCCAUGUCUUGUCUACUGCAAUCUGCGUAGCCUAUGGUACAGUGCCUGCAUAUACUGUUAUAAUAUUUAUAAUAUUUCAAUGCAAUCUGUUAUAAUAGUAACUCAAGGUUAUCCAGAUCACCUUGUAGCAAAGCCCCCCUAGUCUUCUCACAAGCUAAAUGCAUGAUAGGAUCUGCAAAUGUGAAGGGUGGAGACAGGAAAGUGACCAAUUCAAUCACUGAAAAGGAACAUUACUUCCCUGUCAGAGGCACUGAGUCACCCUCUGUCUGUUAGGCACCAGGGAACUGCAGGAAGUUGCUGUCAUAGUUCUACCAAUGUAGCUAUUGUGAGGUCACAUACAAGAGGGGGCAGCCGGGAGACUCAUCUCAUUGCCAGAGCAGGGUGUUCUGAGUGCCUUUGUGUACAAGAGGACAUCAUCAGCAGGAAACAGGAUGUGCCAGUGUGACUGCCACCGAGCAAAAUCACUGCCUGUAAGGUCCCAGUGACACGAGGCUGGGAACAUGGGUCCAGUGUCCCUCCAUGGAAGGAUUAAGGCACUUCAGUCUCAGGAUGUAAAGGAGAGAACUUGGUGCUUCAGCUUUUUUUCAUUUUUAAUUCUGAGCCAUGAAUGUGGGUGACUUCUGAAGAAAAUAAAAGACAAUAUAGUCUACUGGGAAACAAUGAAAAAAGAGCCAAGAGGUCUUAAAUUGGGAAUAAGAACUGUGGUAUCAAGAUUUGGAAAACACCUGGAAUCAUACCAGCACCUAUAAGCCUAUUUGAAUAAAACUCUUCCCUGCCAUUGGCCA